AAUGAACGUUGGCGGCGUGGAUUAGGCAUGCAAGUCGAGCGUGAUAGGUUUGGUGCUUGCAUUAAACCUUGAAAGCGGCGAAAGGGACAGUAACGCGUAGAUACCUACCUCCAGGUCCGGGAUAGCGGCGGGAAACUGCCGGUAAUACCGGAUAAUGUCUUCGGACCAAAGGUGUGAUUCCGCUUGGAGACGGAUCUGCGUCCUAUUAGCUAGUUGGUGGGGUAAUGGCCCACCAAGGCGAUGAUGGGUAGCGGGCGUGAGAGCGUGGCCCGCGUCAAUGGGACUGAGACACUGCCCAGACCCCUACGGGUGGCUGCAGUGGAGAAUCUUCGGCAAUGGGCGCAAGCCUGACCGAGCGACGCCGCGUGCGGGAUGAAGGCCUUCGGGUUGUAAACCGCUGUCGGAGAGGCGGAAAUCUCUAGGGGUUCUCCCCUGGAGUUGACCUAAUCUCGGAGGAAGUCCGGGCUAAGUUCGUGCCAGCAGCCGCCGUAAGAC
rnacentral:rRNA from 1 species